UUUAAAAAAAUGGCUCCUCUUUGCUCAUCGAAUUGUGCGCAUCGUGAAACACAAUUAUUGACAAAACAAUUGCAAAGUCAACAUGUGAAAAAUUAAUCGCAGUGGCAAAGAUUUUUCUGGGAUAAAAUUAAUCAAAAUUUGUUUUAAAAAAAAUUGUUAUUUAAAAUAUUUUCUUUUCUUUAAAAUUGUUAAGUUUAAAAAAAAAUUAUAAAUGGAUCACGACGAACGAAGAGGAUCAUUAUGGCUGGCAUUGGGAGAACCAGAUAAAAAAACAAAGACAUUGUUUGAAAAAUUAAGGGGAAAAUAUUUAUUUCGAGCUGUCGUGCGACUUGUGAUGGAAUAUAAAAAUUGGAUAGGUGAAAAAUUAAUAUCAGAAGAACCAGAAACGGGAACGAAAAGAAAAAAGAGAAAUGAAGAAAAAAAGGAACUUACGUUAAAGGAUCGCUCGAUUCUUUUAAUUGAUCCACAUCAAAGAACGAGAGAUAAUCGAGCUUAUAUUUGGCAAUUGAUAAGAAAUUUACAAGCAUUCAAAAAAUAUGACGACAGUCUCAGAGAGAGUUUGGCACCUGACUGUCGAUAUCAAUACGUACCAGCACAGCGGGUUAUCGUACGUCAGGGGCACACAGCCGAGGCACUUUAUUUUAUUGUUAGUGGACAAAUUAUUUUGUCAAAAAUAGAAAUUAACAAUGUGAGCGGUGACAAAAUAGAAACUAAUGUUGGUACAUUAAAAGCAGGAGAAACAUUUGGCGAAAUUUCUCUUUUACACAGAGUUCCAAGAACAUUGACAAUUACUAGUAAAACUCCCGUCGACUUAUUGUACAUUUCACGAGAAUAUUUUAAUCAAAUUUUAAAACAUUCACUUAUGGAAGAAUGGGACAUACUACAAGACGCUUUGAUUAAUUUUAAUUAUUUCAAAGGUUGGGAUGAAAAUACAAUGCGCGAAUGUUGUAUACUUAGUAAAGUGAAAAAUUAUAAACCCAAUGAGAUUAUUAUUGGCGAUGGAAAAGGAAUGGUAAAUUAUGUUUAUUUUGUUCUUGUCGGUGAAUGUAAAUUAAUUGAACAUAUGAUAGUGGAAGAGAAAAAAUUUAAUCGAGAAAUUCAAUAUAAUUUAUAUAAUAAUUUAGAAACGAAAGAAUCAAGACUUAAGAAAAAAGAUAUGGAGAUGCGGAAAAAUCAAAAAUUAACAAAAUAUAGUGAAAAAUUUGAUCAAGAUAAAUGGAGUUUAGAGAAAAGUUUGCAAUCAGAAAAACCUACGUCAAUCACUGAUUUAACAGAAUAUUUGAAAAGAAAACGAUUUCCAAGUAAAGAUCGAUUAAGUAUGGCUACUGUAAGAAUUUUAGACGUUAUAAAUCAGUGGCACGAUAUUACGGAAACUGCAAAUACGCUAAUGAUGAAACCUUCGACAAUAUCGCAACAACAAUAUCCAAAAAAUGUACGGACAAGAUUUAUGCAAAUUUGUAUAUUUUAUCGAGGAUCUUGUUUUGCUUUAGGUGAAGAAAUGCGGAAUAGACGAAUAGUGUCAUUAACAGAUGUAAGAUGUUUAUUAAUUCCACGUUAUUGGCUCUUGAAGCAAAAUCGAGCAAAUAUUUGGGAGAGAGUAAAAUUAUUUUUGAAUUCAAAAUAUCCUAAUAGUGAUGAAUUACUUCAAACAUUUGUUGUACAUAGAAAGUGGACAAAAUAUAGACAAGGUUUAGUGGAAGAAGCCAUUGGAAGAAAUGGUCGUCAGGCAUAUAACGACACCAAUAAAUGUGACGUUCCAUAUUCAAUAAGAAUUAACGAAAUUUCAUAAAAUAAAUAUUUCACUAAAAUCCUUCAGCACGUGGAUCAAGUGAAAUUUUUAACACAUCACGUAUACUAAUAGGUUUAACUUUUGCCUCUGAAACACAUAUGUAAUAAUAAAAAUUAUUUUUCAUAUAAACGCUAUAACCUAAAAAAAAUAAAAUAAAAUAAACCUAAAAAUAAUAAAGUUAAAUAAAUUUUUUUGUAAAUAAACAACACCAGGGUGGGAAUCCAGCCAUAAUGGCUGUAAAAUAUUAUAAAUUAUAAAAAUUGUUUUCUUUUGAUACUCACUUCAUUUUGUUUAAAUAUUAAAUUCUCCUAUUAAGAAACCAACUUGCCAAAGUCGUCAGAUUAAUAGUCGACUAAUAAUAAUUAAAUUCGAUUAUGAUUUGUCCUUUCGUUCUGUUAUGAAAACUCUCAUGAGGCAUUGAGUGUAGAAUCUACGUUACCGACGGUCGCUUAUCGGUUAUUGAUCGUGGAUAAAAUUCGCUAUUAAUUAACCUGAAUGUCAGCGAGAAGAGAGGGCGCUGUUUAACAAUGCUUUCGAGUUUGACUCGUCAGCCAUUUUACCCUCAUUCUCAUCCUGGUGUCAGUACAGAAUAGUUCGUGUUUUUCUCUAUUCUUUUUUUGUAAAACCAAAAUUAAAAUGUAACGUAAUUGUAACUAAUAGUGCGACGAGGCGUCUUCGUCGUCGUCAAUUGGACUGUCAAAGAAUUUGAUUCAAAAGCUGCAUGUUCCAUAGAUUUUAAUGCAAAUGAAACUGGUGAUAUGACCUACGGAAAGCUGCUAUCAAUUAUUUUAGAACGCAAAGAAACUGAACAAAUUGUAUUAAACGGAUCAAAGCUUUGUUAAUACAACAAAUUGUAUUGCCGAUUUAACAAUUUAGUUUUGUUAUUUCAACUGUUCCAUAACAAUUUUUUUUGGUCAUCAAACAAUUCUGUUUGUUCACCGAACAAUCCGAAUAGUUUUAAUAACAAUCCGAUUUUUUUUUGUCCCAAAAACAAAUAGAACUACUGGUUCUAUAUUGACAAUCCGGAAUUGUUGUGUUGACUUAAUUUUUUAGUAACCAUAACAAUUCUUUUUUCUCCGUGUCAGUAAUUUAUUUUUUUGUCCUUAUUUUUUCUUUAUCCUAAUUUUUCCAAUCAUUAAAAAUAUAAGAAAAAAAGUUAAAACAAACCCAGUAAAUAAUUUCUAUUUUACGUUCAACUUUCUACAAUUUUUUUUUCUUUCAUCUAAGUUUUAAAGAGAAAUAAAAUAGAAGAAAGAGAAUUGUUACACUGACAAUCUAGUUCUUCAUCUCAGAUCAAAAUGAAAACUGAAUUAAUUGCUCUUUAUGAGGUUUAUUGUUAGUUGCUACUAAAAUUAUACGAUAAGACUCAACUUGACCCCAAUUGACUCUUCCACACGUGGUCAGUUAGUACAUUUGAAAGAAAGUUGUUAUUAUACAAAAUCAUUUAGUAACCCUUUUUUUUAUAAUUCACAUCAACAUUGUUAUAUAGAAUAUUUCGUAAUACUUUUCAUAAUUUUAUUAUCUUUAAUUGUAAUUUACUUCAUUUUAUAAUUAUAACGUUAAAAGUUAAUAACAAUAAUCCAUGCAUUAAAUACGUGCAGCAUGCUACA